GAUGAAGAACGUAGCGAAAUGCGAUACUUGGUGUGAAUUGCAGAAUCCCGUGAACCAUCGAGUCUUUGAACGCAAGUUGCGCCCGAAGCCACUAGGCCGAGGGCACGCCUGCCUGGGCGUCACACGCCGUUGCCCCCCCAUCUACUCCUUCGGGAUUGCGGGGGGGCGGAUGAUGGCCUCCUAUGCGCCUAGCCGCGCGGUUGGCAUAAAUACCAAGUCCUCGGCGACGCACGCCACGACAAUCGGUGGUUGCGAAACCUCGGUUGCCCGUCGUGUGCGUUCGUCGCGCAUCGAGGGCUCGAAAAAAUGCUCGGCUCCGGCUGGGCUUUCAACGCGACCCCAGGUCAGGCGGGGUUACCCGCUGAAUUUAAGCAUAUCAAUAAGCGGAGGA
rnacentral:misc_RNA from 1 species